rnacentral:rRNA from 1 species
GGGUGAGUAAUGUCUGGGAAACUGCCUGAUGGAGGGGGAUAACUACUGGAAACGGUAGCUAAUACCGCAUAACGUCGCAAGACCAAAGUGGGGGACCUUCGGGCCUCAUGCCAUCAGAUGUGCCCAGAUGGGAUUAGCUAGUAGGUGGGGUAACGGCUCACCUAGGCGACGAUCCCUAGCUGGUCUGAGAGGAUGACCAGCCACACUGGAACUGAGACACGGUCCAGACUCCUACGGGAGGCAGCAGUGGGGAAUAUUGCACAAUGGGCGCAAGCCUGAUGCAGCCAUGCCGCGUGUG